UUAAGCUGCAGCGAGAUGACAUUUGCUCCUUUUCUUAAGACUCACAGAGGACAAAGGAAGCCCAGAAGUGGUCACUCAUAUUUCCUUCUGUCUUCAAAAUGCUUUGCAAUAACAAUCACAGGGCCAACUGGGACGUUAUUAUCAUGGGUUCACUAUUUUCUCUACAUUUUUCAAGAAAUGGUGCCCUAAAUUUUCCUUGAGUAUCCCCCAUCCCCAACCCCAGUCCAUUUGGUCCACAUUGGCUAAUCAGAACACAAACUUCCUCUCUUGGUGACUGGGGUCUCCAUGGCCGAUGACUCAAGUUGGGCAAUCAGUAAGUCCCUUGAUUUUCAUGGGAGUGGCCAGAGAUGACUAGAAGGCAAUGUUCUCUCCUAGGUUGAACUGAACCUGUGAGGCAGCCACUUUGUCACUGCAUGGAACAUAGAACACAGAGCUGAGAAAUGAAGUGACAAUUAUGUCACUUGAGGCACUGGAUGGAUCAAUGCUUAAAGCCUUGAGUUUCUCCGUCAUGUGAAACAAUGCCAACCUUUUUCUUCUUUCGUAAAUUUUAUUGAGCUUUCUACCAUCUGCCAUGAAAAGGGUUCCAACUGAUUAAAAAAUAAAUUGCUAAGCUUGAGUUUUAAAACAAAGAAUCACAAUACAUCAGAAUGAGACUUCCACGUGCAAGCCCACUGCUGUGGCCAGAAGAACCAGCGUGAAUGAGGUCUGGACACUCAGUGCUUCCUCCCAGUCCCGGCGUGUUCAACAUAACCAGAUGGCUGCCACUCCACUCAGCCACCCCCACCUCACCUAGCAGUGACAUGUCCCCGAGGAGCAUUCCAGUCAAUAACUCAGAGGUGACUAAACAUUUAUACUGCAUAUACAGUGAUAACGCAGCUGCAUUUUAGAAUAGCUGAGAAAACACAAUAGACCUUACAAUAAAAUAGGGACUGAUAAACUCAUUCAGAAAAGCUAGAGCGGGCUUCCUUAUGAAUUAGUGGAAAACUCCUACAAGAGUCCUCAUGAUUAUUCAAACAUAGCAAAGGAGUCAGGAUGGUUUGAUUUUCUUUGCGUUCAUAGUAUUAUUUUGAGUUUAGUCUGGUCUGUAGUGUGGGUAAGAGGAGAAAAACCAAGUCACCUCUCAAUGUUGACUUUUCCUUGAACUAUCUGCCCCAAAAUGGUUUUUUUUUUUCCCCCAACUCCUUAGAGUUUGACACAAACUAAGAGUGGCAAACACUACAGAUGAGGUGAUGGGCAAGCUGUAAGGAGCUGAGAUUGUUAUCUGCAGAUAAAGCAGAGAGGCCCUGAAAUGGGGCUGGGAUGUUUCAAGAAGAAUUUCCCAGGAGGCUUCCAGGUCAGCUUAUGGGAUCAGGUUGGCUCCACUCUGCUCUCAGCUCCAGGAGCUCUGCAAGAUCAUUCCUCAUCUUUGACAGAACGU
rnacentral:lncRNA from 1 species